GACGUAGGGGGCCAGCGUUGUUCGGAAUUACUGGGUGUAAAGGGUUCGUAGGCGGUGUGGCAAGUCGGGAGUGAAAUUUCUGGGCUUAACUCAGAACCUGCUUCCGAAACUGCUGUGCUCGAGUGUGGGAGAGGCGCGUGGAAUUGCAGGUGUAGCGGUGAAAUGCGUAGAUAUCGGGAGGAACACCAGUGGCGAAGGCGGCUACCUGGACCAGCACUGACACUGAAGCACGAAAGCGUGGGGAGCAAACAGG
rnacentral:rRNA from 1 species